CAAAAUAGCAGUUAGUAUCAGUUAUACAUGUUCAAAUUCAAACAAAAAGAUAAGUCUUUCUGGUUUGAAUUUAACUUCUGCCAAAGAAAUCCGAAAAAUAAAAAAUAAAAAAAUAUAUUUUAUUUUCGGGCUAGGUAUAUUUCUUUUAUUUUUCCAAGACCCCAAGAGGCCCAAGGCCCAAGUCUUGAUUAUUAAAUAUUAGUAUUAAUCAAGCAAGCCAACCAUAAUAGUCUUCACUACCAAGCCCAUCA
rnacentral:lncRNA from 1 species